CUCCGGUCAGGGUACCUUGUCACGUAAAUCAUCAUUAGUGGAUGACAUGAUAACGGAAGAUUUCGACAGGUUUGCCUCCAUCAUCAGGAGGGUGGAGAGCUCGCGCAAGCUCGCUCGAUUGCAUGCUAAAGCCAAUACUUCCAUCAAGGAAAGUAUUGAUGUUUGGAGGAAGAGACAAGAUAAGCUAUAAAAUGGUUUGCCCUUAUGAUGUAUUUCUCUCCUACCAUCAUGCUUACUGUAGAUUGUUUUCCAAGUAGCGGGGUUCUGUUUUUUUACUGUAUCUCAUAUGUUACUGCUACAAUUUUUUGUAAUAUUGUUGACCGCAUCUUGGGUAUGCCUUUGCUAGAUCGUAGAUAGUUCAUCCCUCAUGAAGCAUGUCCAAUAU